AUUGAACGCUGGCGGCAGGCCUAACACAUGCAAGUAGAGCGAGCGGCGGAAGGGUGAGUAAUGUCUGGGAAACUGCCUGAUGGAGGGGGAAAACUACUGGAAAAGGUAGCUAAUACCGCAUACCAUCAGAUGUGCCCGGAUGGGAUUAGCUAGUGGGUGGGGUAACGGCUGACCUAGGCGACGAUCGCUAGCUGGUCUGAGAGGAUGACCGGCCACACGGGAACUGAGACCCGGGCCCGACGCCUUCGGGAGGCACCAGUGGCGAAUAUUGCACAAUGGGCGGAAGCCUGAUGCAGCCAUGCCGCGUGUGUGAAGGAGGCCUUCGGGUUGUAAAGCACUUUCAUCGGGUGUGCGUUACCCGCAUAAGAAGCACCGGCUAACUCCGUGCCAGCAGCCGCGGUAAUUC
rnacentral:rRNA from 1 species